GCAAUGGUGGUUCAGUGGCAGAAUUCUCACCUCCCAUGUGGGAGACCUGAGUUCAAUUCUCGGCCAGUGCA
rnacentral:tRNA from 1 species